CCUACGGGUGGCAGCAGUGAGGAAUAUUGGUCAAUGGGCUUACGCCUGAACCAGCCAAGUCGCGUGAGGGAAGACUGCCCUAUGGGUUGUAAACCUCUUUUGUCGGGGAGCAAAAGACGCCACGCGUGGCGUUCCGAGAGUACCCGAAGAAAAAGCAUCGGCUAACUCCGUGCCAGCAGCCGCGGUAAUACGGAGGAUGCGAGCGUUAUCCGGAUUUAUUGGGUUUAAAGGGUGCGCAGGCGGAAGAUCAAGUCAGCGGUAAAAUUGAGGGGCUCAACCUCUUCGAGCCGUUGAAACUGGUGUUCUUGAGUGAGUGAGAAGUAUGCGGAAUGCGUGGUGUAGCGGUGAAAUGCAUAGAUAUCACGCAGAACUCCGAUUGCGAAGGCAGCAUACCGGCGCUCAACUGACGCUCAUGCACGAAAGUGUGGGUAUCGAACAGGAUUAGAUACCCGGGUAGUC
rnacentral:rRNA from 1 species